GUUACUGCUAUCGAGGUUCGACUAAGCCAUGCGAGUCGAAUGUAGCAAUACAUGGCGAACUGCUCAGUAACACGUGGACAACCUGCCCUUAGGUUGGGUAUAAACCCGGGAAACUGGGUAUAAUACCCGAUAGGUCUCGAUUGCUGGAAUGCAUCGAGAUUUAAAGCUCCGGCGCCUAAGGAUGGGUCUGCGGCCUAUCAGGUAGUAGUGGGUGUAGCGUACCUACUAGCCUACGACGGGUACGGGUUGUGAGAGCAAGAGCCCGGAGAUGGAUUCUGAGACACGAAUCCAGGCCCUACGGGGUGCAGCAGGCGCGAAAACUUUACAAUGCUGGCAACAGCGAUAAGGGAACCUCGAGUGCCAGGUUACAAAUCUGGCUGUCGAGAUGCCUAAAAAGCAUUUCAUAGCAAGGGCCGGGCAAGACCGGUGCCAGCCGCCGCGGUAACACCGGCGGCUCGAGUGGUAACCGUUAUUAUUGGGUCUAAAGGGUCUGUAGCCGGCCGGAUAAGUCUCUUGAGAAAUCUGGCAGCUUAACUGUCAGGCUUUCAGGAGAUACUGUCUGGCUCGAGGCCGGGAGAGGUGAGAGGUACUUCAGGGGUAGGGGUGAAAUCUUGUAAUCCUUGAAGGACCACCAGUGGCGAAGGCGUCUCACCAGAACGGACCUGACGGUAAGGGACGAAAGCUAGGGGCACGAACCGGAUUAGAUACCCGGGUAGUCCUAGCCGUAAACGAUACUCGCUAGGUGUCGGCCACGGUGCGACCGUUGUCGGUGCCGUAGGGAAGCCGUGAAGCGAGCCACCUGGGAAGUACGGCCGCAAGGCUGAAACUUAAAGGAAUUGGCGGGGGAGCACCACAACGGGUGGAGCUUGCGGUUUAAUUGGAUUCAACGCCGGAAAUCUUACCGGGACCGACAGCAAUAUGAAGGCCAGGCUGAAGACUUUGCCGGAUUAGCUGAGAGGUGGUGCAUGGCCGUCGUCAGUUCGUACUGUGAAGCAUCCUGUUAAGUCAGG
rnacentral:rRNA from 1 species